GAUGAACGCUGGCGGCGUGCCUAAUACAUGCAAGUCGAGCGAACGGACGAGAAGCUUGCUUCUCUGAUGUUAGCGGCGGACGGGUGAGUAACACGUGGAUAACCUACCUAUAAGACUGGGAUAACUUCGGGAAACCGGAGCUAAUACCGGAUAAUAUUUUGAACCGCAUGGUGCAAGAGUGAAAGACGGUCUUGCUGUCACUUAUAGAUGGAUCCGCGCUGCAUUAGCUAGUUGGUAAGGUAACGGCUUACCAAGGCAACGAUGCAUAGCCGACCUGAGAGGGGGAUCGGCCACCCUGGAACUGAGACACGGUCCAGACUCCUAAGGGAGGCCGCAGUAGGGAAUCUUCCGCAAUGGGCGAAAGCCUGACGGAGUAACGCCGCGUGAGUGAUGAAGGUCUUCGGAUCGUAAAACUCUGUUAUUAGGGAAGAACAUAUAUGUAAGUAACUGUGCACAUCUUGACGGUACCUAAUCAGAAAGCCACGGCUAACUACGUG
rnacentral:rRNA from 1 species